CAACUGGCUUACUUCACUUAACAUAAUGCUCUCCAGUUCAAUCCAUGCUGUUGCAAAAGAGGUCUGGUACGCAUCACCGCAAAGGGGCUUAGUAAGGAUGAUACAUCAUCGCAUGGAAAUGAGUAAUAGCAAACGAUCAGAUCCACAGUGCAGAUUAUAGAGCAUUGAACGCUGAUGAGGAGUGGCCUACUGCAGAACAGAUAUCCCUGAAUGCAAAGGACCCUGAGCUUCUCUGUGACCCAGCGCCUCAGGAAGGGUGGACCUGAUGAGGGCAGGAGAGGAGUUUUAAUGGGGAUCAAUUCUACCCUCUGCCCUCGUGGACUUGUUUUGAGUUUGAAACCCUCUUGGAUUUGUCCCCAGCCUGUCUCUGCUUUCAUCUGAAAUUCAAACUCUGCCCUAAAAGAAGAAGUAUGAUGAGGGAGUUCAGCUCUGUUCUGCUGAUGAAGAGGUUUUCAAUCAUUCCACGAUCAUUAUUCCUUCACCUACUUUUUAAACUGUGUGUGUGUGUAUUGGUUAAGUAAAUGCUCCAUGCCCCUUAUACUGUGUCAUGAAACCUCUCCAUGCCUCAGUUUCCUCAUCAGCAAAACAGAGCUAAGUCACCUCCUUCCCAGGGUCCUGGAGAGAACUGGGUCCAAAGUGAGGUAAUACGUUGCCAACUUCCUCCUGCCUUACGUUCUGUGAGUGCCCAGGAAAGCGGGCUCUUACUAACAAACAGCUACCGCGCUCCGCAAGGGUGCCAGGUGACCUCAUCCAGUCCCACGGCUAUAAAUACCACCAAGUGCUGAUGAUUCCAGAAUUCCCUCGCACUACACUUUUUCCUGGAUGCCAAACAGUAAAUCCAACUACCUGCCGGUCAUAUAUUGAACAUCAAAUAGAUACUGACUUAGGUGGCGGAGAUACAUCAGCUAUCCCUGCCCUGGUGAGGCUGACCUAUGUUCUUGCAGCAGAGAUGGACAAAAACAACUACUUAAAAAUAAAGUUGACAGCCAGUUCUACAGAGAAAAAGAAAUGAAGAUGUGAGAGAAAUAAGAGUCCAGAAAAAGGGGAGAGUGCAGUAGUCAGGCAAAAUUUUUUUUAAGAUUUAAUUUAUUUAUCUCUAGAGGGGAAGGGAAGGAGAGAGGGAUAGAAACAUCAAUGUAUGGUUGCCUCUCGUGAGUCCCCUGCUGGGAACUGGCCUGCAACCCAGGCAUGUGCCCCGACUGGGAAUCGAACUGCGAUCAUGUGGCUUGCAGGCCCGAGCUCAAUCCACUGAGCUACAUCAGCCAGGGCCUCAGGCAAAUUUUUUUUACCUGAGAAAUAAGCCCAAAUUGGAAGAAGGGGAGGAGAUUAGCUGAGGGAAACUGUUCCUCAUUAGCUAUGCAAUCUGGGACAAGAAACAAAAUCUCUGGAUCUUGAUUUCUUCAUUUGUACAAUGGCAUAUUGAUCUAGAUGUUGUACACUGAAGUCCUUUUAAGUUCUUAAAUUCUGUAAACCAGGGGUGUCCAACCUGUGGACUUUUUGCUCAUCAGUUUUUGUUAGUGUUUAUAUAUUUAAUGUGUGGCCCAAGACAACUCUUCUUCCAGCAUGGCCCAGAGACGCCAAAAAGUUGGACAGCCCUGCUGUAAACUAUGGUUUAGCUCUUGUCAGUGUUAGAAUGAAGGCAGUCAUCAAGUCAGUGUUCAUUAAGCCUAUGCGAUGCGUCAUUGUGUUGCUAAAUGCCACAGAUGCCACAGGAUUUAAGAAAUGCUUAUCAUGAUAGCAAUAAUUUGGAUAUAUCCCAUUAUACUCAUUCAUUUAUUCAACAAACUACAUAUUACAUAUUACUAAAACACAUAUUAAACACCUACUAUGUGCUAGGUACUGCUAUAAAGCUGCGGUGUUACAAAGCUGACAAUCUGAUGAGGAAAGAGAGCCAUUUGAACUCGAAGUAACACAUUCUAUCCUGGAACAGCAGAGUACUUUGAGAUGCACAGAAUGGAGAAAUUAACCCAGUGGGUGGGGAGUGCCCACUUCUGCCAGGGGUUCUAGAUAAGCAUUCUUUUUUCUACCCAUAAACUUCUGACAUUUCUUUCUUUAAAAAAUUAUUGCUUUAUCUUUGAGAAAGUGACAGUAAACUUUACUUAUUAAAUAGAAAUAAACAAUUUUUCUAUUACUCUUAUUUUUUUAAAUUUAAAAGAAUAACAUUUAGCUUAUCGCUGUUCACCUUGUAAGCAUAUUAAAGGAAAACUACUUAAGUUUGGAAAGCUUCCAUUUUUUACAAGGAAAGUAAAAGUAUCAGGGAAUGUUUAAUACUAUUGGGGAAAUUUUAAAUUGUGAAACUAAACAGAACAAUGAAGGCAAUUUAUAAAAUGUUUAUUUCAUUAGAACUACAGUUCUGUUAACAAAUACGUUUGAGAAACAUGAGCUUUUCCAUCAGCCUUUGUGUUUCCUUUCCCUGGGCAGCGAGGAAGUAACAAACAUGACGACAAUAACUGCCUUCUACUGGAAGCCAAUUGCGUGCCAGGCUCAGUGGUAAGCACUUGUUCAAAUGGUAUCCAAUGUAAUCCUUACAAAGCUCUGUGGAAUAAACUGCAACUAUGCUCAAUUUUAUACAUCAGACAACUAAGACUUGAAGAGAUUAAUUGCCUAUGUUCAAAGCCAGUAAAUGGCAUUAGGGGAAAAACUCUCUAACUUGUCUUCAGAAGACCUGCACUUGAACACCAGAGACAGAAAGCAUUGGUUCUCUGACCUUAAUAACGUCAACCAGUUACUUAUUUAGUAUAAUUUUUACUAUUUUGCUUUUUAUGUUGCUUAAUGAGCAAAUGGUCGUAUAGUUUCUCUGCUAUCUAUGUAAAUGUCUUCUUAAGCACUGUGUUUUUUAAAAAAGUAUAUCCAUUAUCUCUGAAUCUCUAUCUGUAAUUAAAAGUCUACGGAAAGAACUUUUGGACCCGAUCCAAAUAUUUUUAAAAAUAUACUUUUGUGUAUUGGUACUCCAUAUAAAAUUCUUCCUAAUGGUCUCCAGUUUCAAAGGCUUCAGAAGCUGUUUGACUAGGCAUAUCGUGAAACAAGAGAUGUAACGCAUCAGUUGAGAGUGUUGUAAGACAGUAUUAACAGCAGCUCUCUUCCUGCAUCUGUAUUUGAAGAAAUUCCUAUCCUCUACAUUAGGGACAGCAGAUGAUAGACAACCUAAUAUGUUAAUUGAACAUUUUUAGCUUACUCGAUGGACAAGUAAAGCUUGCUUUCUUUUUUUAAAUUGUAUUUUAAUUUUAAUUGUUGUUCAAGUACAGUUUUUUGUCUUUUACUCCCAUCCCA